AGAAUCAACGCUGGCGGCGUGCCUCAGACAUGCAAGUCGAACGCGAAAGUCCCCUUCGGGGGACAAGUAGAGUGGCGCACGGGUGAGUAACACGUAGGUAAUCUACCUUUGGAUGGGGAAUAACAACCGGAAACGGUUGCUAAUACCGCAUAAUGCAGCGGCACCUAAUGGUGACAGUUGUUAAAGCGGGGGAUCGAAAGACCUCGCGUCUGAAGAGGAGCCUGCGGCGGAUUAGCUAGUUGGUAAGGUAAUGGCUUACCAAGGCGACGAUCC
rnacentral:rRNA from 1 species